GUUGACGCAUGUCGUGUAGUUGCUCCACACUUGGUCAGAUACUGGAUGUCGAAACCAGAACGAAUUUCAUUUGGAUGAAAACAUCGCCAAUAUUCGAUUCUUCAUAUUGUACGUCUCAAAGAAACUCGUAUGAAAAAUUCUACCGAAGAAAGCGACGACGACACAUGGAAAUUCUCUCGAAACGUUCUAACCCGUUCCAUUUUACGCGUCGGAAAGGCAAAUCGAAAGUAGAAGGUAAAAAUGGCUAUAAAUGGUAUCGCGUAUCACGUUUGCAUUUACGAUAAAUAUCACACGUAUAUUCAUAUGCAAACGACAAACGCAAAUUAAAAAUCGAAUACGCCGUUGUAAAGGAACACCGAUGGUUAGUUCUUUCGAUAUUCACGAGACAAUUUCGUUGGAUCGAUUUAAUUAAGUCUGGCACGAAUUUUAUUUCCCUCGUGAAAUGAAAUUAAAAUGAAAAAAAGAAAGUCGUUAUAAUAUACAAAGGGAACUCUCUUAUCCUCUCUAACUCUUUAGAAAAUGAACGAAAAAAUUUGCGUUCAGUGGAUAAGGCGCAGAGGGAAAAAUAUCUUUUUUAAUAUUUGCACGUCUAAAGCCUCGCAUUUGGAUUUUUAACUCGACGAUCAUUUCCGCAAUCUAAUCGGAUAAUCUGUCACAUCGUAGAUAUUUCACAACGUGUAUCGGCAGUUUUUUAUUAAAUCUUAUCAAAAUUAUUUAUAAAACGAGAGAAAAUACGAUAAUAUACUCGAACUAUCGAUGAAAAGAUACGCAACUCGUAGCAAAGAAAUUAAAUUGAAAGGCAAAAACGUGUGUAACGCGCAAAAGUAUAUAAUUUGUAUAAAUAUACAUAUUCCAUACGGAUGUAUGUAUUUCGUAAAACGUCAUUAAAAUCUCCAAAAAAAAAAAAAAUGCAUCCUUGUAACUCUAUGUAACUCUUUUAUGAAAGAUAAUGAAUCGAGCUUUUUGCACAGAAGGUUUCGUUCUGUCUGAAGAGAUCCGUUUUUAGAAAGCUUCUCCAUCGCACAGCGUGAUUACUCUGGUAGCUGUAACGUCAAAAAAUCUGCGAACGUUAAAUCGUGAAAAAUAAAUAGAAUGUAAAGAACGUAAAUAAAUAGAAUAGAAAAGAAUAAAUAGAAUAUAAAUUGGUGCGAAACUUGCACCGGUUGCGUUAUAAAAACAUGUCCAUGUGCAUUCUGUUUAUUUCUUCGCGUUUCAUCUCGAAAUUCCCUCGAAAAAAAACUUCAAAAGCUCUCCUGUAUAUGUACGAUAUAUAUUGUAUAAAAGUCACGUUUUUAACCGCAAGGAACACGCCGACGUGCAUCAGUUGCACAAAGGACAGCAAAGGAUGUGCGAAGAGAAAAUCUUUGCAGAGAGCAAGGAACUCGUAAAGCUUUCGAAAAGCUACUUCUGACAUGAAAACGUAUUACUGUCGGAUGUAUCAAGAAUUCACGUUUUGCUUUAAGGUCCCUUUCUCAAACAUUUAAAUUAACAUUUUUCAUUAAAGCACGUCCGAAACGAUGAUAUUUCCUUUACUUUGCGUUCUUCGCUCUGAAACUAUGUAAUUUCUGCUUGAGAUAUUUCGUGAUAUUCGGUUGUACGAAGAAGUAGAGAAUGCAACUUCGUAUUCUAAUUUUUUUUUUAUUAUUUAAUUUGUACUUUACAAUUUGUCCAGCUGGACAUUUGGUAAAUUGUUUUAACUUAAUUGUUAAAUAACAUGUGGAUGGCUACCCCCAGUGGGAUACCAUCUUCGAAUUUGAUUAUUUUAUUUCUUUAGUGAGGUGAGUGACCGUAUUCUUAGUGACGUGAAUUUGCGUGGGAAGAUAAUUUGCGUAAAAUUCGUCACGGAUCCUCUCCAUUUAUCGCUCAUCUUAAUAUUUUACAUUAAUUAUACGAUGCCCUGUUAAGACGAAGUUAAGAAUUUUGCGGAAAGAAGAUCGUAAUAUACCAAACACAGAUAUUACAGUUGCUAUUUAAUUAUUGAUAUUAAUAAUAAUAACUGCAUAAUAAUUGCUAUUUCUAUAUUGCAUAUAAUUGCUAAUUGCUAUUGCAUAUAAUUGCUAAUUUCUUUAUUUGAUUAUCUUAAUAAUUCUAUCUUCUACUCGGAAACGUUUCACAAAAGAAAAAUUAACAUUUUGAGUAAGUAAAUCCGAGGUGAUUUAAAAUGCCUGGAUGUUAAUAAUACAAUCAAGAUUUAUUAUUCAUUCAACGUUGUUGAAUGACUUAAGGCGGUACAUUUGUACACCUUAUGCUAUACAUAUGUAUCUCUCAAUUUAAUGGCGUGUUCCAUUAACGACACGAAGAGCAAACUAGCAAAAUAGCGAAGAACAUUAUUUACGAACGUAAGGUAAUUUACAUGUUCAUUUGAUUAGAAUGAAAUGUGCAAAUUACAGAAUGUUGAAGAAACUUUAAAAAAUAAGGAAUGUUAAACUUGGAAAAAAGCUUGUUGUGAAUAUCGCGAGAGAAGAUUGUCACAGCCACGAGAGAGAUAUUAAUUAAAAUUUUUUUCAUUCAUUUCCACGGAAACGUUACAAGUUUAAUGAAAUUCCAAUUAUAUUUCUGAAUAUGCGUUUCUAUCUGAAUUCUAAUUAUAUUUUAAUUAUUUAUUAUUAGUUUCGCGGAAAAGAUGAAUCUCUUCAACGAAAAGGCACAAUGUAGCGUUAGCAGAGUUAGUGAUAGAUUAAUAGAAAUAAAAAAAUAAGUAACAAUUAAGAAGAAGCAACUGAGCUGUGAUAUUAAGAAAUAAAAUAGAAAAGUUAGAAAA